UACGGAGGGAGCUAGCGUUGUUCGGAAUUACUGGGCGUAAAGCGCACGUAGGCGGCUUUGUAAGUUAGAGGUGAAAGCCCGGGGCUCAACCCCGGAAUUGCCUUUAAGACUGCAUCGCUUGAAUCCGGGAGAGGUGAGUGGAAUUCCGAGUGUAGAGGUGAAAUUCGUAGAUAUUCGGAAGAACACCAGUGGCGAAGGCGG
rnacentral:rRNA from 1 species